rnacentral:rRNA from 1 species
AAGCGUAAUAGCUCACUGGUCGAGUCGGCCUGCGCGGAAGAUGUAACGGGGCUAAACCAUGCACCGAAGCUGCGGCAGCGACGCUUAUGCGUUGUUGGGUAGGGGAGCGUUCUGUAAGCCUGUGAAGGUGUGCUGUGAGGCAUGCUGGAGGUAUCAGAAGUGCGAAUGCUGACAUAAGUAACGAUAAAGCGGGUGAAAAGCCCGCUCGCCGGAAGACCAAGGGUUCCUGUCCAACGUUAAUCGGGGCAGGGUGAGUCGACCCCUAAGGCGAGGCCGAAAGGCGUAGUCGAUGGGAAACAGGUUAAUAUUCCUGUACUUGGUGUUACUGCGAAGGGGGGACGGAGAAGGCUAUGUUGGCCGGGCGACGGUUGUCCCGGUUUAAGCGUGUAGGCUGGUUUUCCAGGCAAAUCCGGAAAAUCAAGGCUGAGGCGUGAUGACGAGGCACUACGGUGCUGAAGCAACAAAUGCCCUGCUUCCAGGAAAAGCCUCUAAGCAUCAGGUAACAUCAAAUCGUACCCCAAACCGACACAGGUGGUCAGGUAGAGAAUACCAAGGCGCUUGAGAGAACUCGGGUGAAGGAACUAGGCAAAAUGGUGCCGUAACUUCGGGAGAAGG